UAAGGUGAUUAAGCAAUCGCAUGUUUUACAUGAGGAAAGUCCGAGCACCAAAGGACACGGUGCCAGUUAACGGCUGGUGAAGGCGACUUUAAGGAAAGUGCAACAGAAAUAUACCGCCAUUUUUGUGGUAAGGAUGGAAAGGUGAGGUAAGAGCUCACCCGUAGUAUGGCAACUUACUAGCGAUGUAAACCCCACCGGGUGCAAGAUCCGAAUUGAGCUAUAUGGCUGUCCGCUAUGCUCUAAGGAGAUCGCUAAAGCCAUUUGGUAACAUUUGGUUUAGAUAGAUGAUUGCUCACGACAGAACUCGGCUUAUAGAUCACACUUUUGUA
rnacentral:RNase_P_RNA from 1 species